rnacentral:rRNA from 1 species
AUUGAACGCUGGCGGCAUGCCUUACACAUGCAAGUCGAACGGCAGCACGGGAGCAAUCCUGGUGGCGAGUGGCGAACGGGUGAGUAAUAUAUCAGAACGUGCCCAGUCGUGGGGGAUAACGUAGCGAAAGCUACGCUAAUACCGCAUACGAUCUAUGGAUGAAAGCGGGGGAUCGCAAGACCUCGCGCGAUUGGAGCGGCCGAUAUCAGAUUAGGUAGUUGGUGAGGUAAAGGCUCACCAAGCCGACGAUCUGUAGCUGGUCUGAGAGGACGACCAGCCACACUGGGACUGAGACACGGCCCAGACUCCUACGGGAGGCAGCAGUGGGGAAUUUUGGACAAUGGGCGCAAGCCUGAUCCAGCAAUGCCGCGUGCAGGAUGAAGGCCUCGGUGUAA